GUCCAGUGUUCACACUGUCAUUUGUUAAUUCUGUGACCUUGGACAAGUAACUCACGUCUCUGUGCCUGAGUUCCCCAUCAGUGAAGUGGAGAUAAUAGUCCCUAUCUCGCGGUGAUGUGGUAGAGAU
rnacentral:sRNA from 1 species